CCCCUCCAUCUUCUGCAGGCAGAAGCAGCAUCUGGGACAGCCAGGGCUGCCAGCAGUGCAGGAGAGCACUGCCACCACGUGCAAACCCAGCUUCUCCGCAUCCCCCAUGUCAGGAGACCAAUUUUUAAAACCCAAUCAUCUUUCUCUCUCUUCAGUCUCUCAUCUUAAUGAAACUGUCACAAGUCCAGUAGGUGGUCUGAUUGGCUUUUUUGGGCUUCACAAGCUAUAAUUUCUUCAUCACUUCAUCAUUUUUGCACUGUGAAUUACUAUUUCAGCCUGUUCUUUCACCUUCUUUUUAAUCAUCAGCUUUUUAAGUAAUACCACAUAGGUGAAAAAUACUAAUAUAACAGUCAUUUUAACAGCUGGUUAAAUUAACUCUGUGAUGGCAGGGCAUGCAGCAAUUUGUGAAGUGCACAAGUGAAGAGGUGUUCCAGUGGUGCUGAGAAGAUGGAGUACGGCUUCAGAACCUGGAAAACAAAAUUAGGUCCUAUCUACGUGGGGAUGCUGAGGAAACUCAAGCUGAGCUAAUUGAAGAAUGGGGCACUGCUAUUCUUCACAAUGAGUAGACAAUGAAGGAAAUGCUCAUAAUUGACCAGCAAAUGAUGCAAGACCUAUACAAACAGAAUAAAAGAUCUCCUGGUCUCUAAGUAAAAAAGCACUUUCUCCAAAAGUAGCAGGAGAGAGGAACAACGAGAUACAGCAUCACUUGUUUCCCUCAUUGAGUAGAGAGGGUACCAAAGGGCUGAUGGAUGUGGAGUAAUGCUUGGGUAAGAUUGACAACUAUUUCCUCCUGCUACGUACACACAACCAGCACCCACCUGUUUUCCUCCCACCCAGAGAUAUUUUUGAAAGCUUCUUCUAGCAAAUUUCUGCACCAAAAUUAAACCCAUCUAGCAGUCAACCUUACUGUCG
ensembl:lncRNA